rnacentral:rRNA from 1 species
UACGUAGGGGGCAAGCGUUGUCCGGAUUUAUUGGGCGUAAAGAGCUCGUAGGCGGCUUGGCAAGUCGGGUGUGAAAACUUCAGGCUCAACCUGGAGCGGCCACUCGAUACUGCUAUGGCUUGAGUCCGGUAGGGGACCACGGGAAUUCCUGGUUGUAGGCGGUGAAAUGACGCAGAUAUCAGGAGGAACACCAGUGGCGAAGGCGGUGGUCCUGGGCCGGAACUGACGCUGAGGAGCGAAAGCGUGGUAGCAAACAGG